UCCGAGUUGACCCCGGCAGUCUCCUGCGAGUCCCCGCCAUUACGCGCUGGCAACACAGGACAAGGGUUGCGCUCGUUGCGGGACUUAACCCAACAUCUCACGACACGAGCUGACGACAGCCAUGCACCACCUGUAUACCGACCACAAGGGGGGCCGUAUCUCUACGGCUUUCCGGUAUAUGUCAAACCCAGGUAAGGUGGGGAUGACGUUUCCAGGUUAG
rnacentral:misc_RNA from 1 species